rnacentral:rRNA from 1 species
ACUUUCAACAAAUGGAUCUCUUGGUUCUCGCAUCGAUGAAGAACGCAGCGAAAUGCGAUAAGUAAUGUGAAUUGCAGAAUUCCGUGAAUCAUCAAAUUUUUGAACGCUAAUUGCACUCCCUUGGUAUUCCGAGGAGUACCCCCUGCUUGAGGGGUCCAGU